rnacentral:misc_RNA from 1 species
ACAUAUAUAUAUAUAUAUAUUGUUUUCUUAACGCCUGUCCUCUGCCUUCUUGACCACUGCCUUACCUGUGUCUACACACACAUACACACACGUCUAUGCAUUUAGUAGCUGCAGCUUAGGUGGUUGCAGGGCCUUCAGAGCAGAAGACGUCCACAAGCGUCUGCUUUCUUUUUUUUUCUUCCGUCUCCUUCUGCAUCUCCUGCGCACACAUGAGUCAGUCGUCAUUAGCAUCAUCCACGGCAUCAGGGUGUGCGUCGACGCCGUCAUCGACCGGCAGCGCAGCUGUUCUUGCUGCUUGGCCGCUAUCAUCAGCGACAGAUAUGGAAGACACUACGGCAACUGCAUCAGCGACUACGUCCGCUUCUGCUAGCUCUUUGACUGACGGUGACGCUGACGCCAGUGCGCCGCCUGUGCUACGCGACGAUGUGUGGUCUCUUGCUGCCCUACUAUCGGAUCCUUCAACAGUCACGACGACGAUAGCGGCGGCAGCGGAUGCGCCGUAUCAAGCUCCGGAGGCCUUGCCCAGCCUGCAGCCUCUGCCGAGUAUCGACACGGCGCAGCUGCGCGGAUUCAUCUCGAAUGCGACCGGAACGGUGUCUACGAGCUGCGCUAUGCCGCUGCAAACGGUUUUGCCCGCCUUAAUUUCCCCCUCGCAUGACGAUCCUGGCGACAUGUUGGCGGCUCCACGGUCGUCGCCGCCGAGGGCACCGUCUUCCGCGGCGUCCUCUAGCGUCGCCAGCGACGCAUCGACAUCGCAGCAUGGAGUUGCGAGCUCACUGUCCACAAUUGCGCUGGCACCGUCACCAGAGUCCCCGGUCCCGUUCGUGCCGGUUGUAGCUGCGGAUCAAGCGCACCAUAGUGAAAUCCCUGGCCCGUCUCCAGCAGGCGCCCUGUCGACCACGUCUGCUUCUUCGCCUUUGUCGCAGCCGCGGACGACGGCCGAUGCAACGCGCAUCGUCGCUUGCGACUACGCAGAGCCUACCACUCGAGAGGAGCGCUUCCGCCUGGGCCUCUCACCGUCUAUUGAAGGUGCGGUCACUUCGCCAGCGAUACGCGGCGCAGCGGCAUCUCCUAGAGUCCAGAGCGCUACCCAUUCGCUAUCAGCAACACCAUUGACACUCGAUGCUACGCUCGCUAGCACACCAGAGGAGGACAAGGUAGCGGUGCCACUGCCCAGGGCUGGGAAUGGCGACCACUGCGUCGCAGGAGGCGGGGUUCUUCUGGGCACGACGGAAGCCCGUGUGGCGCUUGAUGACACUGCAAUAGCAGAGCCUGCCUUGUCGCUCAGCUCUGUAGCCGUCAAGGUGAACGCUGGGGCCGGUCCGCAGGCAGAGGGUGGGGCGUCAUUCGAGGCACCCAAGAAGACAACGCCGCUACUGAUGCGUCCAGCGGAUGCACCGAGGAAACUGACGAUACCAACCGUGUCAAUGAACUCAGACAUCGGUGGAGCUCGGCAAGACGGGAAUGAUGAUUGCCGUUGGCUCAUGGUAAGCGUGGAGCCGCCAGUGAUGCAAGAACCUGAGAAGGCGCCACCCGCUUCGCGAAAGCGUCGUCGAGCUGCGUUGGCAGGCCCCAACCGGCAGCCGCGUCGUCCUGCCCAAGGGGCAGGCAGUGAGGCGAAAGCCGCCGAGGAAGUGGAGCCGGCUCGUUCUUUGUCUGCGCAGCCUAACAGCGGCCUACUGCAUGCGACAGCAGCCGCGGGUGAAGCGAUCUGCCAUGCACCCACUUUGAUCAAGACUUACGCACCGGCGGCGGUGUCUGCCGCCGUGCAGGGUAGCGGUGGUGAGGAGGCGUCGGAUGAAAAGCGGCUGGAUGUGCUACGACCGCCUGGGGUGGCACACGAGAGAGACGCUGGUGACAUGGACGUUUGCGCUUUUACGGGAUCAAAUACGCAAGAGGAGCUUCCAGGGGAUGCACACCAGUAUGGCUUGCGCCGUGUGCGUGCAGAUUAUGGAGCGCAGGCCGAAACGGCAGAAGAUUCGUACCAGACAGAGGCGCCUGUGGUGUCCUGUAGCGGUAAAGAGGCGUCCGUGACGUCUCCGCCGCCGUCGCCUGUUGCGGCAGGCGCGAGCACCGCGGCGGCUCGUGCCACCGCUACCCCAUUACCAGGCAUCAACCUCACCACUGAGACCCCCACACCGACAGCGGCCGUUCACAACGCCAAGCCGAAGAGGGGCCAUCGUGGUGCGCAGGGGACAGCAGCGGCGUCGCGAAAGGAUUCAGAGCCAGGGGCUCUGACGAAGGAGGCGGGCGCGCCUGCUUCUUUUCUGCCAGCCUCCUCCAGGCCAGUGCUGAAUCUCGCCGGCGUCAACGUGCAAGCACUCUUGGCCGAAGGUACCGACCCUCCCCCUCUGUACACACGCCGCCAGCGUCGCACGCGCCGGAGGUCAACCCUUGCCGAGGAUCACCCGCUGUUUGCUGAACAUCGCGACCUGUGGGAGCACGACACGGCAGGUCGCAUCCUCCCCAGAGCACCGUUUGCUAGCGAUGCAGAUGUGCUGAAUUCGCUGACGGAGUGGACCGACUCGCCGGCGUUGGUGUACGCGCAACUCCUCUGGCGCUACGCACCGGCCCUAUUUGUGAACUUGGCGAUGCACGACAGCGACGCCACACCGUAUGUGAAGGUCGAGCCAAAAGUGGAGGCAGAUACCCGUGUGAAGCAAGAGAAGAUGGAAUGACCGGCCUGUGUGCUUCAUCGUCGUCUCGGCUUGAGGUGUGCUGUGCUCCGGGGCGUGCGCGCUUGCGGAUGUGCGUGCCGCUGCGCUUGGAACACGCUGCUUCUCUGUCGUCGCAUUCGUCGUUGUCUUUUGCGCAAAUGCAGAGCGGCUACAGUGGAACAG